CGCCUGCACCGAGCCGCCUCCUCAUGCCGCGCCGGGCCCCGGCGCCCCGCGGCCGCCGCGGGAGCUGAGCACAGGCCAGGGCGGCGUCCCGGCCAGCGACGAACGCGCUCCGACUCCGGCCGCCGCCAGCUGCCUGCCUGGCCGCAAGGGCGGCAGCGGCAUUACCGCCGCGCGCCCGGGGUGAGGCGCCCCCGCCGGGCCCGCGGACACCAGGCGAAGAGCAACCGGGCGACGCGCGCUGCGGGCAGAGCCGGGGAGCCGGAAGAGCAGAGGCCGAGCGCCGUCGGAGCCGCGUCUGGUUGGAGAAAGAGGCGGACGUGAAGGGGCGGGGGAGCCGCGGAGGAAAACCGGGACCGGCGGGAACGUCUCGAGACCCCUGCGCGCUUCGCGCGCUCGCUCGGAACUCGGCAGGCGGCGCUGCGCCGGGCCCCGAGGAAACCUGGAGGUCCCCGCCCUCCCCGCGCCCGAAACACCGCGCGUCCUGAUAGGCCCGCGCCCAGCAGCCCCCUCCCCGCGCCCGCCGCACCGGGGCCCCACCGCCUCCUGCGUCAC
rnacentral:lncRNA from 1 species